AGUUAUUGAGUAAGCUUACACUUACAAAUUAUGAUUUACAAUUUCAAUCGAGGAACGUAGUGUCGGACAAUUAUGCCAUUCGGAAGAAGUCUUCUACAGAAGAAAAUGAAAGCCUCUAUCCCUUCGGGGUAGGAGUAAGUUAGCUCCUGGAUUGGAUAUUGACCAAGUGGCGCGAAGAACAGAAGGUUACAGAGCAGAUGAUCUUACAAAUAUAUGCAGAGAUGCUUCUUUAAAUGGGAUGAAGCGUAAGAUAGCAGAGAAUUAAGAGACAUGAUGAGAUUAAGAACAUGUCCGAGGAUGAAAUUUUGAAAAUUUCAGUUAUAAUGGAUGACUUCCUAGAAGUUCUAAGUAAAAUACAACGCUCAGUCUCUGCAGGGGGACAUUGAACGAUAUAAACAAAUGGUCUUCAGAAUUUGGAUCAACCUAGCAAAUGAAGUAACUUCCAUGAAAAACCACAUAAUUUACUAAAACAUUUAGCAUUUCUAGGGGUUCUUUUUUCUGUUACUUGGCAAAAGAAUCACUUGAUUAUGUGAGACAUUAAUGGUCAGAUGUCAUAGUUCUUCUGUGUUCUUUCUGUUCGGUUCGAUCUAUCUAUUUUGACGUUAUUGAUUUUCUUCUUUUUGGGUGUAA